UACGGAGGGGGCGAGCGUUAUUCGGAAUCAUUGGGCGUAAAGGGCGCGUAGGCGGCUUCGUAAGUCCCGGGUGAAAGCCCUCGGCUCAACCGAGGAACUGCCUUGGAUACUGCGAAGCUCGAGGCUGGAAGAGGGUAGUGGAAUUCCCGGUGGUAGCGGUGAAAUGCGUAGAUAUCGGGAGGAACACCAGUGGCGAAGGCGGCUACCUGGGCCAGUUCUGGACGCUGAGGCGGCGAAAGCGUGGGGAGCAAACAGGG
rnacentral:rRNA from 1 species